rnacentral:rRNA from 1 species
UACGUAGGGGGCGAGCGUUUAUCCGGAAUUACUGGGCGUAAAGCGCACGCAGGCGGUUCGCCAAGUUUGGAGUGACAGUUGUCGGCUCAACCGACAAAGGACGUUCAAAAACUGGUGAACUUGAGGACGAGAGAGGAACAUGGAACUCCAGGUGUAGUAGUGAAAUGCGUAGAUAUCUGGAAGAACACCAAUGGCGAAGGCAAUGUUCUGGCUCAUUUCUGAACGGCUCAGGUGCGAAAGCCAGGGGAGCGAACGGG